GUCUACAGCCAUGCUACCCUGAACAAGCCUGAUCUCAUCUCAUUUCGAAGCUAAGCAGGGCCAGACUUGGUUAGCACAUGGAUGGGAGACCACCUAGGAAGACCAGGUGCUGUAGGCA
rnacentral:rRNA from 1 species